CAGUCGAGGGGCAUCGGGAGGGAAGCUUGCUUUCCUUGCCGGCGACCGGCGCACGGGUGAGUAACACGUAUGCAACCUGCCCUCUUCAGGGGGACAACCUUCCGAAAGGGAGGCUAAUCCCGCGUAUAUCGGUUUCGGGCAUCCGUUAUCGAGGAAAGAUUCAUCGGAAGAGGAUGGGCAUGCGGCGCAUUAGCUAGACGGCGGGGUAACGGCCCACCGUGGCGACGAUGCGUAGGGGUUCUGAGAGGAAGGUCCCCCACACUGGUACUGAGACACGGACCAGACUCCUACGGGAGGCAGCAGUGAGGAAUAUUGGUCAAUGGGAGAGAUCCUGAACCAGCCAAGCCGCGUGAGGGAAGACGGCCCUAUGGGUUGUAAACCUCUUUUGUCGGAGAACAAAACCCGGGACGUGUCCCGGACUGCGUGUAUCCGAAGAAAAAGCAUCGGCUAACUCCGUGCCAGCAGCCGCGGUAAUACGGAGGAUGCGAGCGUUAUCCGGAUUUAUUGGGUUUAAAGGGUGCGUAGGCGGUCCGUUAAGUCAGCGGUAAAAUUGCGGGGCUCAACCCCGUCGAGCCGUUGAAACUGGCAGACUUGAGUUGGCGAGAAGUACGCGGAAUGCGCGGUGUAGCGGUGAAAUGCAUAGAUAUCGCGCAGAACUCCGAUUGCGAAGGCAGCGUACCGGCGCCAGACUGACGCUGAGGCACGAAAGCGUGGGGAUCGAACAGGAUUAGAUACCCUGGUAGUCCACGCAGUAAACGAUGAAUGCUGGUUGUCCGGGUC
rnacentral:rRNA from 1 species